rnacentral:lncRNA from 10 species
CGCUCUUGUUUUGGGCUUUUUCAGGACAGUUAACUCUUAGGAAGAAGGGACCUCCAAACCUCUAAGUCGCCAAACCACCGCACCGCCCUGGGUGGAAGAAACCGCUUCGGCAGCAGAGGAAACAGCAGCUUCGCAGAGCAGCCUGGCCCGAGUGGCUACACCGGGUCUGUCUGGUCUCAGCUCUGGCCUCUGAGUCAUUAGCGUUGUUUUCUUCUGAGGCCAGGGCUUCAGAUUAGUCAGGGGCUCCUGUUUCCUGGCUGAUAAAGCAGGUGGAAGAAACACAAUCUGGCCGCCUAGAGGCUGCGUGAAGCUCGUGACCCUGCGGGGUGACUAACGGAGCUCAGCUGGGUGGGACCAGAAACCACGUCUGGGCACUCCUGAGUCACAGGCUCAGAAGCUUUCGCCUCCGCCUUCAGACUGGCCCUCAGGCUUCCCUGCUCAGAGGCAGGGAAUUGUGCAGCUGGAGUUUCAUUUUCCAAGAGGCAGGGUCUCAGUCUGUCACCCAGGCUGGAGUACAGUGGCACCAUCUUGGCUCACUCUAGCCUCGACCUCCUGGGCUCAAGUGAGCCUCCUACCUCAGUCUCCCAAAAUGCUGGGAUUACAAGCAUGAACCACUGUGACUUGCCUUCUUGGCAAUUUUAAAUGAAAGAAGAAGAUGGAAUAAUGCCUACUGAGGACUAUGUUUGAGGGGUGUUGUAUGACCCCGUUUUCCAUACCCAGCCAACUUGUCAUGUGACAAGUCCACAGAAAGAUGUUAUAUGACAGGAAUCUAUGAACUAGUCUUCCCUGAAAUGUACCUGACUACAGCUAACAUCAUAUCACAUGAUGAAAGACCGCGUUGUUUUCCCCUGAGGUUGGCAGUGCAGGAAGAUGUACGUGAAAUAAUUCAUGGAAAAGUCACAGUGGCCUUGAAGUUCUCCAGAUAACUAUGAAAAACUACGUUAAGAUGCUAUUUUUCAACAAAAUUCAUUUUACCAACCUCAAAACGUAUUUCCUCCGAAGAGGAUACGCACUGACAAACAACACCCGAGUGUGGCAUGCUAGCAGGAGCACUAGGCUGGGAGUCAAGAGACUUAAAUUCCACCCGGAAGCCACCACAUGACCUUGGCAUGAGCCCGUCACCAGGCUCCUCAGCGUCCUCAUCGCAGCACCAGGGAUUUCCCAAGCCCUCCGGAAAUACUGUAACUUGACAACAAUGGAGAAAGACUUUCACCCAUGCGGUUGGAAUGCUAGCCUUAAAAUAUAUACAAUUGUUACAUGUCAAUAAAAAUAAAUAAAUAAAUGUUUAAAAAAAAAAAUGUCCUUCCAGGGAACAUCACACACCGG